AUUGAACGCUGGCGGCAUGCCUUACACAUGCAAGUCGAACGGCAGCACGGGAGCAAUCCUGGUGGCGAGUGGCGAACGGGUGAGUAAUAUAUCGGAACGUGCCCAGUCGUGGGGAUAACGUAGCGAAAGCUACGCUAAUACCGCAUACGAUCUAUGGAUGAAAGCGGGGGAUCGCAAGACCUCGCGCGAUUGGAGCGGCCGAUAUCAGAUUAGGUAGUUGGUGAGGUAAAGGCUCGCCAAGCCGACGAUCUGUAGCUGGUCUGAGAGGACGACCAGCCACACUGGGACUGAGACACGGCCCAGACUCCUACGGGAGGCAGCAGUGGGGAAUUUUUGGACAAUGGCGCAAGCCUGAUCCAGCAAUGCCGCGUGCAGGAUG
rnacentral:rRNA from 1 species